rnacentral:rRNA from 1 species
UGGGGAAUCUUGCACAAUGGGGGCAACCCUGAUGCAGCGACGCCGCGUGAGCGAUGAAGCCCUUCGGGGCGUAAAGCUCUUUCGACCGGAACGAUAAUGACGGUACCGGGAGAAGAAGCUGCGGCUAACUACGUGCCAGCAGCCGCGGUAAUACGUAGGCAGCAAGCGUUGUUCGGAGUUACUGGGCGUAAAGAGUGCGUAGGCGGUUUUCUAAGUUCGGUGUGAAAUCUCCCGGCUUAACUGGGAGGGUGCGCCGAAGACUGGGAAGCUGGAGUGUGGGAAAGGCAGGCGGAAUUCCUGGUGUAGCGGUGAAAUGCGUAGAUAUCAGGAGGAACACCGGCGAUGUAGACGGCUUGCUAGACCAUAACUGACGCUGAGGCACGAAAGCGUGGGUAGCAAACA